rnacentral:rRNA from 1 species
AGUGGGGAUAUUGCACAAUGGGCGCAAGCCUGAUGCAGCAACGCCGCGUGAGGGAUGAAGGCCUUCGGGUUGUAAACCUCUUUUAGCAGGGAAGAAGCGAAAGUGACGGUACCUGCAGAAAAAGCACCGGCUAACUACGUGCCAGCAGCCGCGGUAAUACGUAGGGUGCAAGCGUUGUCCGGAAUUAUUGGGCGUAAAGAGCUCGUAGGCGGUUUGUCGCGUCUGCUGUGAAAACCAGAAGCUCAACUUCUGGCCUGCAGUGGGUACGGGCAAACUAGAGUGCGGUAGGGGAGAACGGAAUUCCUGGUGUAGCGGUGGAAUGCGCAGAUAUCAGGAGGAACACCGAUGGCGAAGGCAGUUCUCUGGGCCGUUACUGACGCUGAGGAGCGAAAGCGUGGGGAGCGAACAGGAUUAGAUACCCUGGUAGUCCACGCCGUAAACGGUGGGUGCUAGCUGUGGGCCACAUUCCACGUGGUCCGUGACGAAGUUAACACAUUAAGCACCCCGCCUGGGGAGUACGGCCGCAAGGCUAAAACUCAAAGGAAUUGACGGGGGCCCGCACAAGCGGCGGAGCAUGCGGAUUAAUUCGAUGCAACGCGAAGAACCUUACCAAGGCUUGACAUAUAGAGGAAAAGUACAGAAAUGUGCUCCCCGUAAGGUCUCUAUACAGGUGGUGCAUGGUUGUCGUCAGCUCGUGUCGUGAGAUGUUGGGUUAAGUCCCGCAACGAGCGCAACCCUCGUCCUAUGUUGCCAGCACGUUAUGGUGGGAACUCAUGGGAUACUGCCGGGGUCAAC